AUGAAUUGUUUGAGUUGGAACUGUCGCGGGCUUGGGAACCCGGAGACAGUUCGGGAGCUUCGCAAAGUGGUGAAGCAGGAAGGUCCCUCCCUUCUAUUCGUAAUGGAAACAAAAAUUCAAGGGAAACGUGUUGAGAGUCUUAAGAGCUUACUUGGUUUUACUGGUUGUUUUGCUGUGGAUAGCAAUGGCCUCAGUGGAGGCAUUGGGCUGUACUGGAAUGAUAGUGUGCAUGUUGAACUCAAGAAUUACAGUAAGGCUCAUAUAGAUGUGUUGGUCGGGAGAUGA
rnacentral:rRNA from 1 species